rnacentral:rRNA from 1 species
CAUGUAGGCGGUCUUGUAAGCUUGGCGUGAAAGACCACGGCUCAACCGUGGGAUUGCGUUGAGAACUGCGAGGCUUGAGUGACGGAGAGGGAGCUAGAAUUCCUGGUGUAGGGGUGGAAUCUGUAGAGAUCAGGAAGAAUACCAAUGGCGAAGGCAAGCUCCUGGCCGAUGACUGACGCUGAGGUGCGAAAGUGUGGGGAUCAAACA